GAACAAAGUUUGCAGUGGUGCAAACUGUUAGGAGGAGAAGGCUGGAAGCAAAAGGGUUAAAAAAGAUCACACGCUGCCUUGUAAAGAUAGCAGGAAUUAGGGAACAGGCGACAGAUGUUCCAUGUGGAGGCACUUAGUUUUAUGGUGCCACUUGGACCCAUUUAAUACCUUUAAAAGCAAUCACUUGGUCAUUUGCGAAAGCAGAUAUAGGGACUGAGUUGUUUGAAAACAGAGGCAUCUUUGGCCAAGUCUGUCUACCACUUCCAGGAUGUUCUGCUGUGACAAAUGGCGGAAGAAAGUUUGCUGUUUGCUGUCUCAAAGGUAUAAAUCAUUGCUAGGUGAAUUGCUAUGCCAUAAACAAUGUUCAAAUGCAAGGUGGCGGGAAACUAAUUUCAAAUGAUACAGGUACAUUUAAUUGCCUAUUUUAUUUUGUUUAUGAUUCCUUUCCCAUGAGACAUCCCAAAGUGGUUAACAAAUAAAUGAAAAUAUCAAUAAAAGUGUGUGAGAGAGAAGGAGGGAGGGAGGAGAGAUGGUGGAUGGAUGGAUGGAGAGAUGGAGAGAUGCUAUGGACAAAAUUUCCCUGAGUCCUACCCAAGUCAGGUCUAUUCAGAAGGACUUUGACAUCAGAUGAGGAAGACAGGCAAACUAAUGUCAGUGUACUGGAAGAAGCAAAUAUCACCAGUGUAGAAGCAACGAUUCUUCAACAUCAACUCCGUUGGACUGGUCAUGUUGUUCGGAUGCCUGAUUAUCGUCUUCCAAAGCAACUAGUCUAUUCCCAACUUAAGAAUGGAAAGCGACAUACCAGUGGACAACAAAAGAGAUUUAAAGACUCUCUCAAGGCAAAUCUUUUUUUAAAAUGUAGUAUAAACACUGACAACUGGGAAUCAUUGGCCUGCGAGUGCUCCAAUUGGAGAACAGCCUUCACCAAAGGCGUCACAGACUUUGAAGAAGCACAAACUCAGGACAAAGGGCAAAAAGAGCUAAGAGGAAGGCAUGUUUGGCAAAUCCUCACCAUGAUCAACUCCCACCCGGAAACCUAUGUCCCCACUGUAGAAGGAUGUGCAAAUUCAGAAUGGCCUCCACAGUCACUUAUGAACACCCUGUUAAGACCAUAUUCAUGGAAGACAAUCUUCCUUGGCUAUGAGUGACCGUCAAAGAAGAAGAGGCAUGAACUGCUAUGGGUCUGGUUGGGUGGUCCACAGCCAUCCAUGGUUGUCAUCAGGAAGGAACAUCAGACAGGAAAGAGAGGCAAGCAGGGUGGGGAAACCCUUCAGCAAAGUCAAGAUCUCUGCUUGGUGGCUGCAUCUUCCAGGAGGAGGAAGGCCCAACUUCCUGUGUGCCUGUUGCUCUUCUUCCUGCCUGAUGCCUCCCCACACCUCAACAUCCUGCAGCUUGUGGGUGGGUGAUGUCCACAAGCAGCUUUCUUUUCAAAUGGGGUGAGUCUGUGGGAGGGAGGCACCCACCAUCUCAGCCAGGGUGUCUCUGCCCUUCUCUUAGCUAUGUAUUUAAUUAGGAUUUCAGAACACUAAUUCAAUUCAAUUUAUUUAUUAAAUUUAUAUAUCACCCGUCAUCCGAAGAUCACAGGGUGGUUUACAACAGAAAAGCUUAAAAAAUGCACCCCAUAGUAAGAAACCAAAACAAUGACACACACACACACCAAAAAUUAGUCCUGCCCCUGAACUUACGUGGACCCAAGCGUGGGGUGGUGGUCCUAGGGUCAGCCAAGGGUGGGGCAACCCAAGGCUCUUUGUAUCGGAGCCAAAGGUGGGGUAGAUUGGGAGGCUGCCACAGCCCUCUCACAUCCCCCCUGCAGCCUUGAUUCCGGGGACCUCAAUCAGGGCAACCCAACCUGGACUAACCUGAGGACGACCUACCUCACACUGGACCCAGUUCCAAAGAAGUUCAGGAACAAGGCUUAUGUUUAAUUAGGAGCUUUUCUGAAACCCUAAUUAAACAUAUGGCCAGGUAGGGGAAGGAGAUAUUGUUCCCCUCUCCACCUCCAUGAGAGCAAGGGGUGUUAAUUCUAUGGGUGGUCCUUUACAAGUAGCUUUGGCCUUUGAUACAAAAAUUACCCAAUAGCUUGAAGGGCUUGUAUAGACUUUCCAGCGGAGGAAAUGAGAUGUUUCUACUUGACUGGCUUAGAUGAAUGUAAAAGAGGUUUUUCACUUGAAAUGGGGAAUUUAUAGGCCAGCAUCUUGGGGGUUCAUCUGCCAGCUGAGAAGCCCCAGGAGACGACUGUCCUUCUGAAUCCCUCCUUCAGGGGCCUUCUGAGCAGCUGGAGAGACGGAAGAAGCUGAGUAGUAAUGACUGAAGAGGCAACAGAUGGUAAGUUAAAUAUUCCUCUGGGAGCUGGUCAGCUUGACAGUCAUUCUAUAAAUAAUGCGCUGAGUUUUUACUACUCUUCCUGUGAGUAGAGGUUGUUUCACAAUUGCUUCCCACGCAGCCUUCGUCCUUCCUGUUUUCCAAGCCAAAAAUAUCUCCAGGAAAAUUACACAGGAAGACUUCCCCAGCCUACUACAGUUUUCUUAUAUCCUAAGCCCAGGAAGAUGUUCCAUGUUUACUAUUCAGCUGCUCAAAACACACAGCUCUCUCCGACUGUGUACAUAAGUAUACCUUUAAAACACAUCCAAAGCACAUUCUUUCCUUCAAAGAGUUCUGGGCAAUUCCAGAGUUAUGGUUUUCAGCAACCCUUAGCAAAUUACAGUACCUACAGAAAACUCUGACAGUCUGCAAGAGACCAGAGGAUCAGUGUUAAUAUACCCUCCAACUUUUCUCUGAUGAAAACAGGGAUGUCCUAUUUUUAUUAUUAUUAUUAUUAUUAUUAUUAUUAUUAUUAUUAUUACCCCGCCCAUCUGAGUAGGUUGCCCCAGCCACUCUGGGUGGCUUCCAACAUAUAUAAAACCAUAAUAAAACAUUGCACAUUUUUUAAAAACUUCCAUAUGCAGCGCUGCCUUCCGAUGUUUUCUAAAGGUUGUAUAGUUACUGAUCUCCUUGGAUCGGGGGUCGCAUAACUCCAUACCCUCCAACGUUUCUCUGAUGAAAAUAAGGAUGUCCUAAGGAAAAGUGGGAUAUUUGGGGAUCAAACCAGAAACUGGGGUGGCUUAUGUAAAUCCAGGACUGUCCUUGGAAAAUAGGGACACUUGAAGGGUCUGUGUUAAGAACCAGAUUUAGUCCUGUGCUUCUGAAAUAAUCUGAGGUGGAAUUUCCCAGUUCUAAGGCAUGCAUCUAUAGCAAGAGCUGCUCGGGUGAGCGGAAUUAGGAUCCAGCAGAUCUUAAGCAGGCAGAAGCCCUGAGAAAGAGGCAUCUGGUGGGAUCAGAGAGGGGCCACUUACAUUGGAUCCUAAGCCCAUUCAGCUGAGUCACAUGUACUGUCAACCCAGAAGAAAGGGUGGUGUGAUUCAAACACUAUUCUAAAGUCUUGUUUCCCCUCUGUGAGGCUUAGGUUAGCUCAGCCAGCUUUAGCCUGAUCCUGAAUGGAGUUUGGAUCUGGUUUCAUUUCUGCCGGACUUGUAUAGUUUCGAAGUAUUUUAUUUCCGAUGGAAAGAUGGAAUUCUUAAUUGAUAUGGAAAAUAAGGGUCUCCAGGGUUAUAACAAGACAACUGGGGGGGGGGGGAACGGUAUUGAAAGACAAGAGUUUUAUUUCGUGUCAAUGGUACAGACAGUCUCUGCAGUCUCCCUCCGCCCCCGCUCCCCAAAGAUAGUUUGUUAAUGAAUCAAAAGCUGGAUUUUGGAGGCGGGGGUUGCGGAUAUUCACAUCACAUUUCAGAGAUAGUAAGGCCCCUUCCUUUCCCUGCAGCCAUAACAAAAAUAAUCAGGAACAAAUGUAAUUAACUGAAAACACAUGCCGCCAUAGGUACAGAGAGAGAUUUCCGGAAGUAAGGCAGAACUGUAACUGAACAGAAAUUUAUGCUAAAAGCGUAACUAUGGGACGAAACAAAAUCCCCUGGCUAUUUACUAUCUUAUGAGCAUGCCAUAAAGAUACACACACACACACAUGCACACACACACACACCCUUAAGAACUUAAGUAACACCUCCUCAACCCACUUGGUUAGCUGGUUUACUGGUAAUGCAGUUAACCCUUAAGUCACACACUGAAUGAUCUCUGCUGUUGCACUUCCAACAACCUGGCCACUCAGCACACAGGCCCUGCUCAUUUCUUAUUAUUUAUUACAUUUAAACCCCACCUUUUCAGGUGGCGCUGUGGGUUAAACCAAAGAGCCUAGGACUUGCCGAUCAGAAGGUCGGAGGUUCGAAUCCCCGCGACGGGGUGAGCUCCCGUUGCUCGGUCCCUGCUCCUGCCCACCUAGCAGUUCGAAAGAUCGUCAAAGUGCAAGUAGAGAAAUAGGUACUGUUCCAGCAGGAAGGUAAACGGCGUUUCCGUGCGCUGCUCUGGUUCACCAGAAGCGGCUUAGUCAUGCUGGCCACAUGACCCGGAAGCUGUACGCCGGCUCCCUCAGCCAAUAAAGCGAGAUGAGCGCCACUCCCUCGGCCAAUAAAGCGAGAUGAGCGCCACUCCCUCAGCCAAUAAAGCGAGAUGAGUGCCGCAACCCCAGAGUCGGUAAUGACUGGACCUAAUGGUCAGGGGUCCCUUUACCUUUACCUUUACGUUUUUUUUAAAGAGCUCCUGGCAGUGUAUAAGGUUCACCCCCUCUCUUUUCGCAUCUGGAAGCAGGCAACGUGUCCUAGGGAAAAGGCAGAUUAUCUUCCACUUUGCCAUUCUUGUCAUGCUAUAUUGGGGGGGGGGUGUACAUCAGGGAACCUGGGGCCCUCCAGAUGUUGUUGGAUACCAAGUCCCAUCAGCCCUAGCCAGCCUGGCCAAUGGACAAGGAUGAAUUGCAGUCCAACCAUAACUAGGCUUCAUCAUCGAUCCUGCAGGAUUCCCAUGUCUGGUGUACAUCUUCCUGAUAUCUUCCAACUUCCCUGUUUAGGGAAGCUUUUAGCCCUGUUUAGGGAAGCUUUUAAUGUUUGACGGACUAUUGUAUUUUAAUAUUUUGUUGGAAGCCGCCCAGAGUGGCUGGGGAAACCCAGCCAGAUGGGCAGGGUAUAAAUAAUAAAUUAUUAUUAUUGUAUUAUAUAACCACCUAUCAGGGAGGGGAGAGGAGGCAGGGGAAGUCACAUUCCACUAGUGGGCCUUGUCCUGUGUGUGCGUACCCCACUUAGUGCUAUGUUGAAUUCCACCCUCAGUCUUCAAGGGCGGCCCCGCAUAGAUCGCGCUGCAGUACUCUAGUCGGUAGGUCACCAGCUCAUGGAAUUCAGUGGCCAAGUGACUUGUAAAUACUAUUUUACAAUACUUCUUUUUCACUUAUAAAGGUGGCAGGGCCCACCUGCACGGCCAUCGUUGUGUUGCCGUUUGCUGCUGCUGUUACACGUGCGGAAAGAAACACAAGAUCUCACAUGACAAGGUGGAUCAUGCGUGCAGAGGACACAUCAACACUGUCAAGUGGGCUGCAAAAUGAAAUGAAAUAUAAAUAUUCAAAAGCUGAACAAAUGAGAGGGGUAGUACCAAAGAUGCUCUUCGCCUGGGGUGCAAGGUAGUCAUUCUCUCUCUUUUUUUUGAAAAAAUAUUUUAUUGAUUUUCCACAUUUAUAACAAAUAUAACAUGUAAAAGACACAAAACGAAACACAUUACAAUACAGUGGUACCUCGGGUUAAGUACUUAAUUCGUUCCGGAGGUCUGUACUUAACCUGAAACUGUUCUUAACCUGAAGCACCACUUUAGCUAAUGGGGCCUCCCGCUGCCGUGCGCCGCUGGAGCACGAUUUCUGUUCUCAACCUGAAGCAAAGUUCUUAACCUGAAGCACUAUUUCUGGGUUAGCGGAGUGUGUAACCUGAAGCGUAUGUAACCCAAGGUACCACUGUACUAAAUGAAAAAAGAAAGAAAAAGAAAAACACUUAAUACUUCUAAAAUCCAAAUUAACUUUCAUUGUUAUCUGACUUCCUCAAAUCCCCCCCAACUGAAUUUCAUUGUGACACCUUUGUAACAGUUCUCCAAGAUCAUCUUUCUAAUAAAAUUAACUCCUAGUCAUUCUCCAUUAAUAUUCCAUUACAGCAGAUGAUAAAUGCACUGUCACACUGAAUCCAGCAUGCCCUGGCUAGUUUGAUUGGGGGGAAUUGAUAGGGUUAUUGUUGUGAAGCUGGCACAAGUUUAUAUAUUCCACCACACACUUUGCAAUGAGGGCGUAUCAAAAAUCACUCUACAGCAGACAUGUAAAUUUGGUGGUGCCUUUUCUAUGUAAUUUAAACCAUUUACUGAAGAGUAGGGUUUAAAAAAAGGCUAAAUCCCUAAACUUUCCAUACCUGUUCUGACUGAAUCCAUGAUUGCACUCAAAUCUUUUCCCAUUAAUAACUUUAAUGACUAAGCUCUGAUUUAACAGAAUGGGUGGGGGGAUUCUUGUUCCUUUCCUGAAGGAGUGGCUGCUGUUAACGCUGACUGCUGGUUUAGUCAAGAGGCCCUCUGCAUGUUUGAAGGAUAAUAAUCGAGUGGUUCGUGUAGCUAGUCAUAUUGAUGAGUAAGAUUUCCUAUGGACACUAAUGGGGGAAAGAAAAAACACACACUCCAUACGCAGAACUGGCAGUGGGAAAGGAAGAAACGAAUGGGCACUUCCAAGGGAUAAUUGUAUUUCUGCUUUGAAGCAUAUGGCAAGAUCGGGCUGAGGUAACUUAGACAGCACUGAAGGCCAUGUCAAGAAUAUAUCAUGACUCAGACGAUGGCAGAGAACUGGAAUAUUUACCAAUCCUUCCCAGAAAGAACUCCCGCAUUAUGCUACCAGUCUCUUCCAUCAGAAUCCUCUUCAAAACUCACCAUUUUUGUGAUGUCUUUGGCCGAACCCCUUGGUCUACACCCUCAAACAUACUCAAUGAAGGUCCAUAAAGCCUAAAUCCAUGCUAUAUUUUAAAGCUUUGUAAUACAGUGGUACCUCAGGUUCCAUGCGCUUCAGGUUACAUACGCUUCAGGUUACAGACUCUGCUAACCCAGAAAUAGUGCUUCCGGUUAAGAACUUUGCUUCAGGGAAGUUUUUAAUCUGUGAUAUUUUACUGUAUUUUUGGUUUCUAUGGAAGCCGCCCAGAGUGGCUGGGGAAACCCAGCCAGAUGGGCGGGGUACAAAUAAUAAAUUAUUAUUAUUAUUCAGUAUGAGAACAAAAAUUGUGCUCCAGCAGCGCGGCAGUGGCAGGAGGCCCCAUUAGCUAAAGUGGUGCUUCAGGUUAAGAACAGUUUCAGGUUAAGAACGGACCUCCAGAACGAAUUAAGUACUUAACCCGAGGUACCACUGUACAAUUUUAAACAGUCUUCCCCUAAAGAAUCCUGGGCACUGUAACUUGUUAAGGGUUCGGAGAGUUAAUAACUGUCCCCCCUACAGAUCUACAAUUCCCAGAGUUCCCUGGGAAGAGGGAUUGACUGUUAAACCACUACUGUAGCUCGGUGAGAGGAAUAAGGAUCUCCCAAGAACCCUCAGCACCCUUAACAAACUACAGUUCCCAUGGUUGGGUGGGAAUGUGCUUCAAAUGUAUGGGGUAUACACAGUCCGUAUUCCACCCCAACAUACCAAAAAGCUGCAAACUGGGAUCUGGACAUCAGAUUUCUAUGAAAUAGAAUAAUAUGUACUGGUUAUGGGAAGCUGAUAUCAUAAAUAUGAACAAAUUAAAACUGACAUAAUCAUACUGUUGUUAUUGCGGGGUGGGUGGGAAUCAAAUCAACCUGAAUACAAUAGGUAACACAUACAAAGAACACAUAGAAUCAUAGUCAAUAAAUAGUCAAUAAAUUAAUUUUAUUUGUUUGUUCUUAUUAUACAUGAACAAAGGAAGAAAAUAAGCUUAAAGCAGAAUAACAACACCAACUGAGGCUUGCUCCCUUGGUCAUCCCCAAGCCAUUGAAAGAGAAGAUUGCAAGGCAUAACCUUCAGAGGGACCCAUAAGUUAACCUCCAAGUUUGGAACACUAAGACAAAAGUCUCACAAUCAUAGAAAUAGAAUGGUCCAAGCCACCUCAAGAAGCUGAACUUCUCAAGGUCCUCUGGUGUACAACUCUAGAUACAAUUCAC